rnacentral:rRNA from 1 species
UACAGAGGUCCCGAGCGUUGUUCGGAUUUAUUGGGCGUAAAGGGUGCGUAGGCGGCGGAGUAAGUUGGGUGUGAAAUCCCGGGGCUUAACCUCGGAAUUGCAUUCAAUACUGCUUCGCUCGAGUACUGGGAGAGGAGGCUGGAAUUUACGGGUGUAGCAGUGAAAUGCGUAGAUAUCGUAAGGAAGGCCGGUGGCGAAAGCGAGCCUCUGGACAGUUACUGACGCUGAUGCACGAAGGCCAGGGGAGCAAACCGGGG